AUUGUGGUAGGUAAGGUUAAUUCCCAUCCAUUGGAUCAAAAUGUGUCUACUUGAUCCUAACCAUUCAUUCUCUUAUAAAUAGAGAAGAUGGAAGACACAAUACCCAUCAAGCUUCACUCACACACACACCUAAAGGCCAAGAGAGAAAAUUGUGGGAUUUGUGUAGUUUUGUGUGGUUUAAGGCUUGAAGUGUGUGCAAGGAAGUAUUUUGGUAAAAGCUCGAUCCCGAUGCUAAUAGAAAGUCCAAGUUAUGAACAGAGAGACGUAGGUGGCCGGGAUGGGAUCUAGGAAUGCAUUAGGACAUUUCAUUUAUAUUACCCCAUAAUUUUCAGUUAUUGUAUUUUUACAAUUAAAUGACCGUUUCCGCAUUUAUAAAAA